CAAAAUAUUCUUAGUUCUUAGUCCUAGAAAUAAAUUUGAACAGUGGUUUGGAUAACAUAGGAAUCUUUAACAUUGUACUCAAAUCGUUCGGUAGUCUAAUAUUAUUAUGGUCACAGAUAUACAUCACUUCAGCCGAUAAUAAUAAGCGUUCAACUAUGAAAUGAUUGUUUAAUGUCUGAUGAAUUAAGCUUUCUACAGCAUUUCAGCCUUGUCGGAAACCAAACUGCUGUUCAGGUGGAGAGAUUGGUGCAUAUUUAUCAAGAAAUGAAGGAAUCCAUUCAUAAUUUUUUGGGGCUUUUCUGUGUGUUGCGCGUUUGAAUUUACGGAUAUAGUUCUAAAUAAUGCUCACAGAUAAAAAUUUUAUCCAAUUAGCAAGAUUUUACAUGAAGCGCUCAGAAGGAAAACCUAUCAUAUAUUUUUCUAUGGAAGUCUGAAUAUUAAUUAUUGUUGGAUAAUAAUAACUGCC